rnacentral:rRNA from 1 species
UACGUAGGUGGCAAGCGUUGUCCGGAUUUACUGGGCGUAAAGGAUGCGUAGGCGGACAUUUAAGUCAGAUGUGAAAUACCCGAGCUUAACUUGGGUGCUGCAUUUGAAACUGGGUGUCUGGAGUGCAGGAGAGGUAAGUGGAAUUCCUAGUGUAGCGGUGAAAUGCGUAGAGAUUAGGAAGAACACCAGUGGCGAAGGCGACUUACUGGACUGUAACUGACGCUGAGGCAUGAAAGCGUGGGGAUCAAACAGG